rnacentral:rRNA from 1 species
CCUACGGGGUGCAGCAGUGAGGAAUAUUGGUCAAUGGGCGAGAGCCUGAACCAGCCAAGUCGCGUGAGGGAGUACUGCCCUAUGGGUUGUAAACCUCUUUUGUCGGGGAGCAAAAGCCGGACGUGUCCGGCUGUGAGAGUACCCUAAGAAAAAGCAUCGGCUAACUCCGUGCCAGCAGCCGCGGUAAUACGGAGGAUGCGAGCGUUAUCCGGAUUUUUGGGGGUAAAAGGGUGCGCAGGCGGAUUUUUAAGUCAGCGGUAAAAUCGUGGGGCUCAACCCCAUCCAGCCGUUGAAACUGGGGAUCUAGAGUGUGCGAGAGGUAUGCGGAAUGCGUGGUGUAGCGGUGAAAUGCAUAGAUAUCACGCAGAACCCUGAUUGCGAAGGCAGCAUACCGGUGCACAACUGACGCUCAGGCACGAAAGCGUGGGUAUCGAACAGGAUUAGAUACCCUUGUAGUC